GCCUGAGUGGCUCAGUCGGUUGAGUGUCUGACUUUGACUCAGGUCAUGAUCUCACGGUUCAUGGGUUCGAGCCCUGUGUCAGGCU
rnacentral:tRNA from 1 species